rnacentral:rRNA from 1 species
CCUACGGGGGGCAGCAGUGAGGAAUAUUGGUCAAUGGACGCAAGUCUGAACCAGCCAUGCCGCGUGCAGGAUGACGGCUCUAUGAGUUGUAAACUGCUUUUGUACGAGGGUAAACCCCGAUACGUGUAUCGGGUUGAAAGUAUCGUACGAAUAAGGAUCGGCUAACUCCGUGCCAGCAGCCGCGGUAAUACGGAGGAUCCGAGCGUUAUCCGGAUUUAUUGGGUUUAAAGGGUGCGUAGGCGGUUUGAUAAGUUAGAGGUGAAAUGUCGGGGCUCAACCCCGAAACUGCCUCUAAUACUGUUGGA